AACGAACGCUGGCGGCAGGCUUAACACAUGCAAGUCGAACGCAUCCUUCGGGGAGAGUGGCAGACGGGUGAGUAACACGUGGGAACGUACCCUUUGGUUCGGAAUAACUUGGGGAAACUCAAGCUAAUACCGGAUAAGCCCUUAUGGGGAAAGGUUUACUGCCGAAGGAUCGGCCCGCGUCUGAUUAGCUAGUUGGUGAGGUAAUGGCUCACCAAGGCGACGAUCAGUAGCUGGUCUGAGAGGAUGAUCAGCCACACUGGGACUGAGACACGGCCCAGACUCCUACGGGAGGCAGCAGUGGGGAAUAUUGGACAAUGGGGGCAACCCUGAUCCAGCCAUGCCGCGUGAGUGAUGAAGGCCUUAGGGUUGUAAAGCUCUUUUACCCGGGACGAUAAUGACUGUACCGGGAGAAUAAGCCCCGGCUAACUUCGUGCCAGCCGCCGCAGUAA
rnacentral:rRNA from 1 species